CAUACUGUGGUCCUGGGAUUGGCUCAGGCAUGGCCAUGUGACCCAAGCUGGUCCAAUGAGAAUGUGCCCGGGACUUUUUCUGAAACCCCUGGGGAAGGGAGGCUUUGCCUCGCAGUUGCUCAGUUAAGAGGAGCUCUCUGAGGGCCAUUUCCAGGCCGCCUUCCCCCAUCAGGGACACAGGCAAAGUGCAAGAGCCCUGAGGAUUUCCAGGGCUACAAAAAUGUUUUAAUUUCUUUUAAAAUUAGAAGAAAAUAUGAGCUCUUAGGUCAAAGAAAUAUUAACCUAUUCAUCUUUGUACCAGUUGUAAAAUAGAAGCUUAAAGGUGAUUUUAUGGAGGAAGGAGCCCACGAAUGCAAAAGGGCCCAGGGCCCAUGGAAGCCGCGUGCAGCCCUGUCUCUGCCGCCGCACAGGAGGGGGCCUGAGAUGAGGAUGGUGAGCUGACGGCCAGGGCCGGGUGAGGGUGACGCCCGGGCGGUGCCAGCCAUCCACAAAGUCCUGCUGUGUGUGUACUGGCGUGGGCAACCUCAUCAGAGCCCCACGGCACCUCACCAUGAUCGUUUCACAGACGGGGAGAGCGGGACCCAGAAA
rnacentral:lncRNA from 10 species